UCGGCAUUCGGGAAGCCUAUCUCAGUCUCCUCAAAUUCUGCACACAUAAAACUUCAGAGCCUGGGAGCGACCCAUGAAACGCAGGUUUUUAAGGACAAAACAAUAGGACAAAAGUGCUGUAUAUUGUCCUUAAGAUGACACAUGAAUUUAAAAUGCAUAGUGUUUGGAUUAUUCAUGAGAGCCCCGCAAGAACGAUGUCCCAGGGGUUUUUGCCAGGAACAUGCCUGAGAUUGUAGAUAAGAAUCAAGCAUCUGGGGCUGCCGCACAAUGGAAAACUCCAGCACUCCAUGGAACUUUUCCAUCUGCAGCAGUCGGAGGAUUUGCCUGAGAACAUACGCGGCAUGAAGACACUCUCAGCCCUCAAGGGCACCCAGUCAGCGCUGUUUAAGGACGGUUUUUCUGUUCACAGCAUACUUCAUGAUUACAGCUUCACUCCAUUGGAUACAACUAUAAAGUGAGGUCCACGUUCCCACUCCUUGAAUCUGAGUUGGGCUGUGACUACAGCAGAAGUUCAGCUAUGUGGCUUCCAAGGCUACCUUGGAAAGGUGAUAGAGCUUCCACCUGAUUUUCUUGGGAACAGCCACUCUUAAACCUCAGCCACCAUACGGGGAGAAAGCCCAAGCCAUGUGACGAGGCCAUUUGUAGGUGUUCCAGUCAUCAGUCCCAGCCCACAGCCAGCAUUAACCCCCAGAGGUAUAAAUGAAGAAACCAAGAUCACUCCAGCCCCAACCGGCACUUGACUGCAAACCUAUAAGAGACUCCAAGCAAAUAAUAUCUAUCUCAGCCCAAUCAAGCCCUGGAACCAUGAGAGAUUCUAAAUAAUAAAGUGAUCAUUGUGAUUUUAAGCCACUGAGUCCUGCAGUGAGUUGUUAUAUAGCAACCGGGCAUCGGCAUACCAUCAGAAGAUUCCUUAAGAAGAAACUUUUGCAACGUUGCUACAGCAGAAAAUAUUCCUUCUGUAUGAUCAUUCAUCCAUUC
rnacentral:lncRNA from 10 species